rnacentral:rRNA from 1 species
UACGUAGGGAGCGAGCGUUGUCCGGAAUCAUUGGGCGUAAAGAGCAUGUAGGUGGAUCAAUUAGUCUGCUGUGAAAGUCAAAGGCUCAACCUUUGAAAGCCGGUGGAUACUGUUGGUCUAGAGUACGGAAGAGGCGAGUGGAAUUCCUAGUGUAGCGGUGGAAUGCGCAGAUAUCAGGAGGAACACCAAUAGCGAAGGCAGCUCGCUGGGACGUUACUGACACUGAGAUGCGAAAGCGUGGGGAGCAAACAGG